UAUAUAUAUAUAUAUAUAUAUAUAUAUAUAUAUAUAUAUAUAUAUAUAUGAAUGAAAUUUCGCCGUACAGAAAAUUUAUAGAAAGUUAGGGUUUCGCUAGAUGUUAAAUAAGCCAAUCGUUUGCAACGCUACAACAACAUAACAUAACAUAACAUAAAUAAUAGGAUAACAAAGGGCCACCAGGGCCCAUCUAGGUUAUCCUGUAUCAGUCGCACAAUAUUCAACAACAAUAUUCAUUAUUCGGCCGCCGCACCGUAGUCACCGUCACCACUACCUUCGCUGCCGCUAUAAAGAUAAAUUUGUUGCUGUACUGAGUACUGAGUACUGCCACCAAAUCCAGCAUGACGAAGGCAUAAUUUUUGAUGUGGUAUGAUACACACAAAGAAAAGCCAUACUUAAAAAGUAGGCAAAUAAUGUGACAACUCAUGCCACCUAGAAAACUAAUUUAAUGAAACAUAGUACAUAUUUAUGUCAGUAAAAACAAUAGUUAUAU